rnacentral:rRNA from 1 species
GAACGCUGGCGGCGUGCUUAACACAUGCAAGUCGAACGAUGAACCACUUCGGUGGGGAUAGUGGCGAACGGGUGAGUAACACGUGGGCAAUCUGCCCUGCACUCUGGGACAAGGCCCUGGAAACGGGGUCUAAUACCGGAUACUGAUCAUCUUGGGCAUCCUUGGUGAUCGAAAGCUCCGGCGGUGCAGGAUGAGCCCGCGGCCUAUCAGCUUGUUGGUGAGGUAACGGCUCACCAAGGCGACGACGGGUAGCCGGCCUGAGAGGGCGACCGGCCACACUGGGACUGAGACACGGCCCAGACUCCUACGGGAGGCAGCAGUGGGGAAUAUUGCACAAUGGGCGAAAGCCUGAUGCAGCCGACGCCGCGUGAGGGAUGACGGCCUUCGGGUUGUAAACCUCUUUCAGCAGGGAAGAAGCGAAAGUGACGGUACCUGCAGAAGAAGCGCCGGCUAACUACGUGCCAGCAGCCGC